GGGUUGUGAGGUUAAGCGACUAAGCGUACACGGUGGAUGCCCUGGCAGUCAGAGGCGAUGAAGGACGUGCUAAUCUGCGAUAAGCGUCGGUAAGGUGAUAUGAACCGUUAUAACCGGCGAUUUCCGAAUGGGGAAACCCAGUGUGUUUCGACACACUAUCAUUAACUGAAUCCAUAGGUUAAUGAGGCGAACCGGGGGAACUGAAACAUCUAAGUACCCCGAGGAAAAGAAAUCAACCGAGAUUCCCCCAGUAGCGGCGAGCGAACGGGGAGCAGCCCAGAGCCUGAAUCAGUGUGUGUGUUAGUGGAAGCGUCUGGAAAGGCGUGCGAUACAGGGUGACAGCCCCGUACACAAAAAUGCACAUGCUGUGAGCUCGAUGAGUAGGGCGGGACACGUGGUAUCCUGUCUGAAUAUGGGGGGACCAUCCUCCAAGGCUAAAUACUCCUGACUGACCGAUAGUGAACCAGUACCGUGAGGGAAAGGCGAAAAGAACCCCGGCGAGGGGAGUGAAAAAGAACCUGAAACCGUGUACGUACAAGCAGUGGGAGCCUCUUUUAUGGGGUGACUGCGUACCUUUUGUAUAAUGGGUCAGCGACUUAUAUUCUGUAGCAAGGUUAACCGAAUAGGGGAGCCGAAGGGAAACCGAGUCUUAACUGGGCGUU
rnacentral:rRNA from 1 species